CCGGCACGGGUGAGUAACACGUAUCCAACCUGCCGUCUACUCUUGGCCAGCCUUCUGAAGGAAGAUAAUCCAGGAUGGCAUCAUGAGUUCACAUGUCCGCAUGAUUAAAGGUAUUUCCGGUAGACGAUGGGGAUGCGUUCCAUUAGAUAGUAGGCGGGGUAACGGCCCACCUAGUCAACGAUGGAUAGGGGUUCUGAGAGGAAGGUCCCCCACAUUGGAACUGAGACACGGUCCAA
rnacentral:rRNA from 1 species